rnacentral:lncRNA from 1 species
AGAAGUGUGUGUUCAUUCAGUCCAAAGCAUGUGUCCAAGGUCAGUCCAAAAUUAACAGAAGAGAAUGCAUCUGGAUUUUUUUGCAGUUUAUUUCUUCUUCUGGGCAGGAAGACAUCAUUCUGUAGGAUGCCAAGAAACAUGAGCCACAUUUCAUCCACACCUUCCAGAAGUAACUGUAUGGCAUCAGUCACAUCAUAUCCAGGCUCCAGCAUAGCUAACAUAGAUGCCUUAAUCUGGCAGGAUUGUUACAUGUAGUGCUUUGCAGAGGCACUUGAGAGAGGAGCAGCCCAUCUCCUUCUCC